rnacentral:lncRNA from 1 species
CAUGAAACAAGAUUAUUUGCAUAACUCAUAAUCUAAAAUUCAAUUUAUAGCAACCUAUUAAUUCACCCUUAUUUCAUGCAAAAUUUACGUUUCUCCGACAACACAGCUUUCUGCAAAUCCUCCAUACAUACAUCACCGCCGCAAAACACCAUCCUUGUUCCGCCGUCCACCGCCACAUUCCUCACACUCCUCCACUCACACAAACUUCCAUUCAUAACCUCACAUACAACAAGCUCCUCUAGUACUAACGUGUUCCGCAAGUAAACAAAAUCCCCAACCCAAAUCACUUCAACUGAACCAAACUCUGAAUCACCCUUCAGCUUCUCCACCAUCUCCUUCGGCAUCGAACCGAUUUCUUUCAUUCCCGAACUUAAUCCAUCCUUAACCUCCCACAGCUUCACCUCUCUAACAUUCCCAGCUUCACCCACCAAUCCAACCACCAUCAACUUCUCCGAUGAAGUUCCGGUGACGCAGUAGAAUACACUUUGAUCAGGACAAAGAUAGUAAGGUCCUUCCCAUUUCAUUGCAAUAGCAUUGAAAGAGUAUGUCACACCGGAAUCUUUCUCCGUCACAAGCAUAGUUUCUCCGACGACAGAAACCGACUGCCACGUGGAUGCCGACGUAUUCUUCAUCUUUUUCGGCAUUGAUUGGCAUCUAACCCAAGCAGAACUCUCCAUGUUAUACAUCUCUACAGCAAGAGGAUCAUCCUCGAACUCACACGCACCACCAGCGACAACUACAUGAUUUCCAACGCGCGCUAUUAUUGGGUCCGUGCGCCACACGCGCGGUGAAGGUGCAUGGUGCCAUUUAAGAUGAAGUGCAUCAAUGGAAAAAGUGAACUCCGAUGGGGUCAACGUGUAGAGAAGAGUCGAAUGAGAUGAUCUAACGGUAGGGAAUUCACUAGCUUUGGUGAUCAACGGUUGGUGCUUAAUCUGAAGCCAUGCAUGAGAGCGAGGGUCGUAAGCGUGUUCGGUAACCACUCGCGAAGCGCGUGUGGUUUGCGUGAGAAUUAUGAGCCAUGGUUUGAUUUGUUUGAGGUGUGCGAGUGAGGAGAAAACAGCAUGGUUCCAAACCUUUGAGACAUGACAAGCAGGAACAAGUUCGAUGAGUGGCAUGAGGGAGAAUAUAGCUUCUAAAACAUCGAUUUCAAUGUGUGUUUCUUCUUGGUGUUCUUUUUGUGUGGCAGCCAUUGUAAGAGAAAAAAAAGCUUUGUGUUGAUUUUUGGGUAAUGGAGUUUCGGGUGUGAGAGGGAAUAUGAGUUGGUGGUUUUUGAGAUUUAUAUAAAAGUGGGGAAAAAGCUUUGUGGUUCAAUCAUCAAGGGGUGAUAUUGUCAUGCCACCUAUAUACUUUUUUAAAAUAAUAAACAGGUAGUUGCCACCUAAUGUGCAUUUGGUGACCUAUACAUACAAACGUUUCAAGUUCACGAGUACGAUGUUAAUUUUCAUUUUUAAUAAGUUAAAUUCUUAGAUUUUGGUUGGAUACCAAUUUUCCAUAGA